CCCAGGCUACCCGCGAAAGCUCUCCCCCAACUCCUCGGUAUCUCCUCUCCCCUCUCCCCUCUUCAAGUAGGGUUAGGGUUCGUCCUUCCGGUUGAAUCCAGUCGAAUCUAAACCAUCGCUCCUUCGAUCUCUUCUUCUUCCGGAGAGCAGAAAUGGAGGUCGAAAAGGGCGGCGGUGGCGGGAGCUCGCUGGUCCCGGUCGUGCCGCCCUUCUUGAGCAAGUGCUACGAGAUGGUGGACGAUCCGCAGACGGACGGGACGGUGUCCUGGAGCAAGACCAACAACAGCUUCGUGAUCUGGGACCCGGCAUCCUUCUGCCGGGACCUCCUCCCCAAGUACUUCAAACACAGCAACCUCUCUAGCUUCGUUCGCCAGCUUAACACCUACGGUUUCCGAAAGGUCGAUCCUGAUAGAUAUGAAUUUGCAAAUGAGGGAUUUCUGAGGGGCCAGAAGGAUUUGCUGAAGACUAUCAUAAGGAAGAAGCCUUCCCAUAAUUCUGGUCAACAGCAUCAGUCCGAUGGGAGAAAUUCAUCUGUAAAUGCAUGCGUUGAGGUUGGAAAAUUUGGGCCAAAGGAAGAAAUUGAAAUGCUUAAGAGGGACAAGAAUGUCCUCAUGCAGGAGCUGGUAAAACUCAGGCAGCAUCAGCAAAACACUGACCAUGAACUUGUUAUUUUGAGACAACGUGUACAAGGUAUGGAACAGCACCAGCAACAAAUGAUGUCAUUUUUGGCCAUGGUGGUCAAGAGUCCUGGAUUUUUGGCCCAACUAAUGCAGCAGAGUGGGAAUAAUAGGUGGACUGAGGCAAAUAAAAAAAGAAGGCUUCCUGCCCUGGAACAGGGUGUUGUUGGUGGUUCCCAGACUUCAUCUGAUGGGCAGAUUAUCAGAUACCAGCCUUUUGUGCCUGAAACCCUGAGGCCAUCUAUGUCGCCAGUGCCAAAUGCUGAUGUGUCACCCGAUUUACAGCACAUGUCGAAUGGAGUCAAUGAUUUGUGCACAAAUGGGGAUGUCAUGUCACUUGGGGCUAACUCAUCUUUGCCUCCAGGAGGGGAUCUUCCUCCGAUGGAAUAUUUUGAACGACUUUUAGCGAGCUCAAUAUCAGAGAAUGAUGGCCAGACCGAACCUUGGUCCCCAGAGGUUCCAGAUUUUAUGUGGGAUUUUGUUUUACCGGAGCAGGAAUUUCAGAUGGAAACAUCACAAAACAUGGUUCUCCCGAGUGAACAGGUGGGAGGGAAUCAUCAAGCAUCUGCAAAAGAUGACAGGCACAACAUUUCUUAAUAUGAAAGCAAGAUGAAUGGAGAAGAUAUGGUAGAGGGAUUGAUGGUGCUCAUGUUCUGGUGGAUAAACUGGUUACCAUGGAAAGACAGAUAUUGGUGUAGCGGGGCUCUAGAAUCUUUGGACCAGGCAGAGAGCAAAAACUUCUGAAGCAUCGGAUCAUAAUUUGACAUGUAUUAAACGCUCAGUGAAAGUUGAAUUUACUAGGCAUCAUUAUUGUUGGGUGCUGGAAGGUGUUAAGUUAGUGCUUGACAUGUGGUCGAUUGCUAUUGGAGGCUGAAUUACAGAUCAUGACCUGAUACCAGCUCAUUUUCCAUUGAAGGCCAAAUUUGGUAUGUCUUGAUCAUAUGAGGUUGAAAUGCCCUGGCUGUUGAUUGCGUGAAGUGCCAAGCGGACUUUGGUACAUUGGAAUGAAAUUUUGCUACUGAAGUCCACUGAUUUUACAUGAUCAAAAAGUUCAUUUUACAUUGUUAUUUAAUUGGUGGUGGUUCCCUUUUUUUCUGGAAGAAGCAGUUCUGAAUUUUCAGUUAGUUCUUCUCUGGAACGGUUGAAUAAUUUAUCGCCUCAAGUUAUAUUAUUUUAUACUGUCAACAUUUUACUUGGGGCAAACUUAUGAUUGAAUAACUUUCAUAUUCAAGUAGAAAAUCAUAGCUGCCAUAAAAUGCUCCAUGCAUGCUUCUGUUCUGGUGAUGUUGGCCAGAUGAUACUAAAACAGUCGAUGUUGGUCCGCAGCCCACACGAGAAAGGUGCAGGGUUUAGAGCUGUGUGGACGGUGAGUCACUAAAGCACCAAUGUUUUUGAACCGAAGGUAAUUCAUGAUAAACUUGAUUAAUGCCUACUACAGCGGCAACCCAUGCAAGGAGCCUUUAGAGUCCAAGCAUUCUACUUGACAGAGCUGCUGAAUCACAUCGGACCAGUUAUCGGUGAAAAAACCGAGUUCAAAAAAUAACACGGGCAAUCAAAGUAUGAAACUUUGUAUAACGAAAAACCUAUUCAGAUGCUUGGUUUUUUGUUGGUUUUAAAAUUUUUCUGUAGAGUUGGGGACCUGUUAUAUCUUCACAUUCAAAUUCUGUACCUUCCAAUUCUUUCUCCACCAUUUAAUUCAUUUAUUGAUAUUUUUGA